rnacentral:rRNA from 1 species
CCUACGGGAGGCAGCAGUCGAGAAUCAUUCACAAUGGGGGAAACCCUGAUGGUGCGACGCCGCGUGGGGGAAUGAAGGUCUUCGGAUUGUAAACUCCUGUCAUGUGGGAGCAAAUUAAAAAGAUAGUACCACAAGAGGAAGAGACGGCUAACUCUGUGCCAGCAGCCGCGGUAAUACAGAGGUCUCAAGCGUUGUUCGGCAUCACUGGGCGUAAAGCGUGCGUAGGCUGUUUCGUAUGUCGGGGGUGAAAGGCGCGGGCUCAACCCGCGGACGGCACAUGAUACGGCGAGACUAGAGUAAUGGAGGGGGAACCGGAAUGCACAGUGUAGCAGUGAAAUGCGUAGAGAUC